rnacentral:rRNA from 1 species
UAGGGAAUCUUCGUCAAUGGACGGAAGUCUGACCGAGCAACGCCGCGUGAGUGAAGAAGGUUUUCGGAUCGUAAAGCUCUGUUGUAAGAGAAGAACGAGUGUGAGAGUGGAAAGUUCACACUGUGACGGUAUCUUACCAGAAAGGGACGGCUAACUACGUGCCAGCAGCCGCGGUAAUACGUAGGUCCCGAGCGUUGUCCGGAUUUAUUGGGCGUAAAGCGAGCGCAGGCGGUUAGAUAAGUCUGAAGUUAAAGGCUGUGGCUUAACCAUAGUACGCUUUGGAAACUGUUUAACUUGAGUGCAAGAGGGGGGAGUGGAAUUCCAUGUGUAGCGGUGAAAUGCGUAGAUAUAUGGAGGAACACCGGUGGCGAAAGCGGCUCUCUGGCUUGUAACUGACGCUGAGGCUCGAAAGCGUGGGGAGCAAACAGGAUUAGAUACCCUGGUAGUCCACGCUGUAAACGAUGAGUGCUAGGUGUUAGACCCUUUCCGGGGUUUAGUGCCGUAGCUAACGCAUUAAGCACUCCGCCUGGGGAGUACGACCGCAAGGUUG